rnacentral:lncRNA from 1 species
CUGUUAUUCAUCAAAAUAUAAAGUGUCGCUCGGGGUGUCAGAUUUUGCGUCGCAAGGGGUAGAGGCUUGUCAUAAAAAAAUACAUAUUUGCUUGUAAAUUAGUCUUCAUAUGAUACAUUUUAUUUCAAACACAUCUACUUUACCAUGACAAAACAAGGAUUUUUCAUUUUGCCUGUUUUUGGUCUUAUAAAAUAUAUGCUUUUGAUUUCAUUCACAUCUACUUUACCAUGACAAAUAAGGGUUUUUUCAUUUUGCCUGUUUUUGGUCUUAUAAAACAUGUGCUUUUGAUUUCAUUCAUAGUAAAAAAAAUGGCUUAAAAUAUUUAGUUUUCAAGCUGGUAAACGAUUUCUUUUCCUUUUCAGUCACUAUCAUGGUAAAAAAAAGUCAAGGCUAUGGCUCAAUAAACCAAAACAUCACAAAAUAGUCCUCAAUAUAAGAUAUGCCCGAAGCCUCCACCAGCCAAAAUGCAUCAUAGUUCAUCACCAGGUUCAUCUAAAAAGCACUCGUGCACGCCGCAAAAAUCCAUUACUCCUAAAAGAAUUAGAACACUCUCUCCAAUGAAACACUCACCGGCAUCUUUUUCAGCGAAUGACAACACAACUUCAAGUAAUCCUGAAGACGAUGAUACUACAAUUGUCAAUGAGAAAACAACGACUUGUACACAAAUA